AAACUAUGAAAAUCACCACGGAGGCAGCUAUAGCUCCCUGCGUGACAUCUGGGUCCAGGAAAUUAUACAAAUAUGAAAGUUAUUGACUGUCUUGAUAUAGAAACAGAAGUUAAUAAUCUUGAGAGCUAUGUGCGAUUAUUAACUUCUGUUUCUAUAUCAAGACACUCAAUACAAAACACGUAUUGUAAGUUCAAAAACACUUGAAUAAAUAAGUAUCGUGAAUACAGUUGCCAGUUCUCACACAGACAUACGUAGAUCUCUUUACUCUAUUGGUAACAUUUUUCAAAAACUAUAAUGUUGACUAGCUAACUUCAGGGACUUCCUCUCCGAUCACGAGAGGGUUGAUCUGAUAACGACAGUCCUCAAAUAUGGCACGUGGAUGUCUCAGACAGCUGCGCCCCCGGACAAAGCUUCUGUUCACUAUGGACAAGAGGAGUCUGGCCAAAUGCGCUCGACCGAGAAGCAACGGCCAUAUAAAUUUAAUAAGAAGAAGCUAACUUCAGGGUGUCGGUUUUUCGUGACGGUGUGCGCGCACAUCGUAAAAAUUUACUGUCAUCAUUUUUCUCUAACGCGCCAAAAGACCCUUCAUAGCCAAAAGAAGUAUAACUUCAAAAAUUAGAACCCACAAUACUUUGUUGAUACCGGCGGAAUAAAUAGCGGUGCUGAAUCCAAAACAAACACUGCAACAUUCUACUUGCCACUCGUUCCUUCAAACAAGCUGGCUUCAUCAGAAGAGGACCUAUACUGAAAAGUUCAUAAUAUAGUUCAUCUUCUGAUGAACUAUAUAUCACCAACUUGGCUGGUGAAACACAUAACAGAGGUUCCAGUUCUACCUUCCAGCGGUACUGAAUAGAGAAGAUUGGGACGGAUCAUUGGCAUGAGUGAACAUGCAUGAACACUUUUUUAUUUUAUAGAAAGUAUAUUACAAUAAAUAAAUAAGAAUACAUUUA